UACGUAGGGGGCAAGCGUUGUCCGGAAUUAUUGGGCGUAAAGAGCGUGUAGGCGGCUUGGAAGGUCAGCUGUGAAAACUCGAGGCUCAACCUCGAGACGUCGGUUGAAACCACCUGGCUAGAGUCCGGAAGAGGAGAGUGGAAUUCCCGGUGUAGCGGUGAAAUGCGCAGAUAUCGGGAAGAACACCCGUGGCGAAGGCGGCUCUCUGGGACGGUACUGACGCUGAGACGCGAAAGCGUGGGGAGCGAACAGG
rnacentral:rRNA from 1 species